rnacentral:sRNA from 1 species
GCUGGGCAUCGUGGUGCAUGCCUAUAAUCCCAGCGACUCUGGAGGCUGAGGCAGGAGGAUAGCAAAUUCAAAGCCAGCCUCAGCAAUUUAUUGAGGCCCUAGGACCUUAGUGAGACCCUGUUUCAA